rnacentral:sRNA from 1 species
GUUGAGUGGGAAUAAAGAGCCAACAUAAUAAGGAUGGGGAAUGCCGAUAAAUCAACGUUUUUCAACUUAUGAAAUGCUUGAUUUUCAUUAAAAAUGAUAUGGUUCCCUACCAUUUUCCCUACCAAAAAUCCCUUGUCAGAUUAAUAUCUGAUAAGGGAUUUUUA